GUAAGCUGUGGUGUAUAAUAAUAGAAACCUUUUCCAAUGAAAAUCCUCAAAGUGACUCUGCUCUUCUGAGCCACAACUUCCGGAGGUCAGACAAAGCCAGGGCCAAAUGAGAACCAACAGCAGUUGCACAAAACGGCUGCCAACAUAUGAUAUCGCAAAUUGCCCUAAGAGAUCUUGGCUCUUAUUAGCUGGGACUUGGUUCAUUCAACGCUGCGCUGCUCCAGGCAAGACGCAGAAUAUCUUUUCUAUAUUGCGCAGUCUGCCCAUGCAGAAUUGACCAGCGGUUCAUGUGCAUAACAGAAUCCUCCACCUAAAUUUAGAAAUUGGUAAAU
rnacentral:lncRNA from 1 species